rnacentral:misc_RNA from 1 species
GAAUCCAACUCUGGUUUUGACGUUAAUGGUAAAUGAAGAAAUUGGCAAAAAAGGGAUGCGAAGAAAAGAGACAAGCUUUCUUGGAGUUUUACUUUAAGGAAUGAAUAUGAAUAUAAUAAGAAAAUGAGAUGGAUGCCAUUAUUAUCGAAGUACGAGAGAGGGGGAUGGAUGGGUCGUUUUCUGGUAUACAGGGGCUGUUCCUCAGUUUCUUUCUUUGGCUCACAAAAAUCCAAGAAUACAAAGGGAACUCACUAAAGUCAGUUUGUAUUUGAGAAGGGAAACACCAAAGUCAUGCAUGUCAGGUUGGCUGUAGACCCAGAAAGUUAAAGAGAGAAAAUCUUUAACUUUGCAAAGAAAUAAAGAAAGAAAAAUGGUGAGGUGAGGUGGGAAGUGGGGGCCUAGUGGUUUUUGGUUUCUCUCUUCUUUGAAAGAAACCUUGCUCUUUUUCUUUCUCCAGCCCAACAAAGUAAAUUUGUUUUUCUUUUUUCCUUGUUGCCAAAGUGAAUAAGGACACUUUGUUAAAACCCAAUCGCUAGAUUUAUAUAAUCAAAGGUUUUUGACAAAUCUACAGUGAGAG